rnacentral:rRNA from 1 species
UGGGGAAUAUUGCACAAUGGGCGCAAGCCUGAUGCAGCCAUGCCGCGUGUGUGAAGAAGGCCUUCGGGUUGUAAAGCACUUUCAGCGAGGAGGAAGGUGGUGAGCUUAAUACGCUCAUCAAUUGACGUUACUCGCAGAAGAAGCACCGGCUAACUCCGUGCCAGCAGCCGCGGUAAUACGGAGGGUGCAAGCGUUAAUCGGAAUUACUGGGCGUAAAGCGCACGCAGGCGGUUUGUUAAGUCAGAUGUGAAAUCCCCGGGCUCAACCUGGGAACUGCAUUUGAAACUGGCAAGCUAGAGUCUCGUAGAGGGGGGUAGAAUUCCAGGUGUAGCGGUGAAAUGCGUAGAGAUCUGGAGGAAUACCGGUGGCGAAGGCGGCCCCCUGGACGAAGACUGACGCUCAGGUGCGAAAGCGUGGGGCAGCAAACAGGAUUAGAUACCCUGGUAGUCCAGCGCUGUAAACGAUGUCGAUUUGGAGGUUGUGCCCUUGAGGCGUGGCUUCCGGAGCUAACGCGUUAAACCGACCGCCUGGGGAGUACGGCCGCAAGGUUAAAACUC